rnacentral:sRNA from 1 species
ACUCUUUAGCGUUGGACGUAUUACGUCUAGUCGGGUGAUUAGCCAGACUCUAACUUAUUGAACGUA